CAGCGCCAGGCCAGCGCCGCCUCUCCGAGGGAAAGGCCAGUUCCCGACGGCUCGUGUCCCCCCUGGAAUGGCCGGGUCCUUAUGAAGCGGUGACCACUCCAGGCAGCAGGGGCGGAAAAUGGUACCAGUCAGGCGGCAGCCGGAGGAGGAGCCCGCAGUCGCCCCCCCGAGAUGGAAGAGCCCACGCCGGAGCCGGUCUACGUGGACGUGGACAAAGGGCUGACCUUGGCCUGCUUCGUCUUCCUCUGCCUCUUCCUCGUGGUGAUGAUCAUCCGCUGCGCGAAAGUCAUCAUGGACCCCUACAGCGCCAUCCCCACGUCCACCUGGGAGGAGCAGCACCUGGACGACUGAGGCCCCGCGCGGCGGCGGGACGAGCCCGUGUCCCCUGCCACCAGCCUGCCGGCCUGAGGAGGCCAGCCGUGGACGUGGCCCCGGGGAGAAGGCCCAGCCCUGGCUCGAGCACACAGGGAGUGCGGGCGCUGCGGCAGCCUGGGAUGCUGUCCCACGCGAUUUGACACCACGCUCCUUCUCCUGACGGUCACCGCAAGCUGUUUCCGUGUUGCUACUGCUUCCUCAUGUUCGUCAUUCUAAUGGCUACAGAACGUGACACCCGGCGCACGCGUGAUUUACAGACUCCUGUAAUUAAGUGCUUGGAUUUCCUUCAUUUUCCCCGUUGCACACGGACUGCGCAGAAACAGAAAGAUGGAGACGCUGUGUGGGGCUGGGGGAGAACGAAUAUUUAACACCCCCCCAAGAGACGGGGAGGGAGGCUUCUAAGACGGGAUCCCGGUAAGGGGAAGGAACCGCUGCGGUUCCAGCUUCUAAUGUCGCGGGACACAGUCCUCUGCGGUCAGCGCCCUGCCUGGUCUCCGGCUGAGAUGAGCUUGGGGACAGCAGACAGUUGAACCGCUCGGGGGAGCCGUGGGCGGGAGCGUGGGCGGCGGGAGGUGGGCGGGUGGCAGCGGGAAGCAUUCAGAGCUGAGGGCCAAGGCCGGCCACAGUCCAGGCCUCGCGGAGAACACGGCGCGAGGACGCCCCCCGCAGGGAACGGGUGGGGGACGCUGCAGACGGCGACGUCCGGGCCGGUUUCCAGCCGCUGCCUGUCUGUGCUUGGCUGAGUCCCUCGUGCACUCGAGCCCUGGCUGCAUCCGAGGCGCAGUCUGCUCCGUGGCAGGCGUGUGGGAAGCGCAGACGUCUCGGUGGCGGGUGCCAUGAAGAAACCAGCCGGGAAGGGCCAGCAGUCCUGAGUGGAGGGGUGGCGGAAGUGCGCAGGCGAGGGGAGUGAGAACGCGGCCACCCAGAGAAGACAGGCAGCCCCUGGGGACGUGGAGACGGCGGGAAUGCACAGACGGCCUCGCCUCGCGGGCUUGGCACCUCGGUUCCCACCACGGCCAUCAUCCUACGUUUUCCAGUUAGUUGCUCCAGCGUCCCCGUGUUCUCACUGGAAGUCCAGUGUCACCUGCCUCGUCAAACCGUCUCGGAGUCCCGGCGCUAGCUCAGCCCGGAAGGGGCUGGUCCUGCUCUCAAGCACCGAGUGGAGAGAACGGCGAGGCCUGGGGGGUCCCGUGGUGUGCGCCACGCCCCUCGGCUCACCGUCCAGGGCUGGUCCUGCCGUGUGUGCUGGCGGCUGCCUGCCGUGUCCCGGGCCCAUGCUGAGUUCCCUGGUGUUCACGUGUUCACACGCCAGGC